rnacentral:rRNA from 1 species
UACGUAGGGUGCAAGCGUUGUCCGGAAUUAUUGGGCGUAAAGAGCUCGUAGGCGGUUUGUCGCGUCUGCUGUGAAAACCCGAGGCUCAACCUCGGGCCUGCAGUGGGUACGGGCAGACUAGAGUGCGGUAGGGGUGACUGGAAUUCCUGGUGUAGCGGUGAAAUGCGCAGAUAUCAGGGAGGAACACCCGGUGGGCGAAAGGCGGGUCUCUGGGC